GCCCACCUGAGACUCAAGGACUGGGACACCUGUCCCUCCUCCUCCACCCACGCUGCGGGGAACUGCAUGGCUCCUCCGGGCGGGGACCAUAGCUUUCCGCCUCAACGUACCUGGGGCUCGGCAUGCUGCGUUGAAUUUUGGAGUGGAUGAGGAGUGAGGGUGUGGCAGGGCGGCUGGAGCUGCCCAACUGCUGAAACUGCUGCAGGUGCCACAGCGGCUGGCUCCCUGAAAGCGUCCUCCUGCCUCUGAGACCGUAGCGCAGGAGGGUGCGAGUGCACCUCCGCAAGGCCUGACGCUGCUGAUCCACUUCCUCUCCCCACGAUGGGGACACACUUGGCGACAGUUCCAUCUGGGGUAAAAGACCCACCAAAAGGUCGCUGGCAUGGGCACUCCAGGGACACCAAAGUGGAGUCUGGGAGACCCCUCGGCUUGUGCGGGGAGCAUUCCUCCCCGAAAUGCUCGUCCACUUCUGGUUACAGCAAUCUUUGAGGGCAGGGAGGGUGGCCAGCAGGGGGCAUUGUGGAGCAAGCACGUGGGCCUCGGAUCCAAGCCUGGGUUCAAAUCCGGGCUGUGGGACGUCCUCACCAAGUCUCGAUUUCCUCCCGUAAAUGAGGGAUGCUGGCGCCCCUCUCGCUGUGGGGGAAUAGGGCUUCCAGCACUGCUCCCAGCAGAUCUCAGACCUCAGGACGUGAAGGUUAUUUUAGGGACAAGCUAACCAUGAAGUCUAUUUAGUGUAACAGCAAGAGCUGCUAAAAACGUGCACAGACAUUCCUUGUACAGCCUGAGUAUCCCUUAUCCAAAAUGCUUGGGACCAGAAGUGUUUUGGCGGCCGGGAACAGUGGCUCACGCCUGUAAUCCCAGCACUUUGGGAGGCCGAGGCGGGCGGAUCACGAGGUCAGGGGAUCGAGACCAUCCUGGCUAACACGGUGAAGACCCGUGUCUACUAAAAAAAAAAAAAAAAAAUUAGCUGGGCGCGGUGGCGGGCGCCUGUAGUCCCAGCUACUCUGGAGGCUGAGGCAGUAGAAUGGCGUGAACCCGGGAGGCGGAGCUUGCAGUGAGUCAAGAUCGUGCCACUGCACUCCAGCCUGGGCGACAGAGCGAGACUCUGUCUCAAAAAAAAAAGCUUUGGCUUUUUUUGGGGAAUAUUUGUACCAUAGUUAGCAGGUGAGCCUCCCAAAUUCCCACAUCCGAAAUCUGAAGUGUUCCAGUGAGUAUUUCCUUUUGUGCGGCAUGUCAGCUGCUCAAAAGUUUUGAAUUGGGGGUGUUUGGAUUUGGGAUACUUAGCCCGUAGUGCUGAGGAGAAAAUUUCUGUCUCUUCUAUUUUUCCUACACUUCCCAAAUUUCUUUAAAGAGUAUGAAUAAAUGCUAUUGGGUAAAAAGAAAUCUGUUUAAAACCUGUGAUCUUUAAAGACUUGACCAGGGUAUCCCACGCUUGAGGCACUGCCUAGGCCCAGUGAGCCAAGCCCAGCCCGAGUCGGCAGCGCGGCCCCGCCCCCGCAAGCCCCGCCCCAUGCCGAGGGCAUUUCCGGGCGCUCUAGGCAGCUCGGAGGACCCGUUCGGAAGACUGGCGGGGGACCCCAGGCGAACCCAAGGGUGGCGGGCUGUGAACUAGCACGGGGCUACGUUGUAGAGAGAGAGAUGGGGCGUCACGGAGGCAGGGGGUGCCAGGCAGGGCGCGGCUGCCAGAGGCCCAGAGGCCGAGCUGGGCCCUGCAGGUCUGAGGUGCAGGACCCGAUUCUGGCCCAAGCAGGGGCGUCCCACGGCUCGAGCUGCCCGUCCAGGUGGUGUCUGAGGAGAGCCUGGGCAGCGGCCUUGCAGAGGGCAGGCCAGCAGCUCCUGCUUUGAGGGCUUGGAGGAGAACAGAUUCCCGAACCAGGCCCAUGAUCAAUGUAUUUGGGUAUUUGAACUAAAUCCAGAUUUCCUGGCUUCCCCUGAGGCCUGCUGAAUCCCUUGGGGUGGGGCCUGGGAAUCUGCGUUUUCCAGUGGGCCUCUCAGGUAGUUGGGUGGUCCCUGAGUGGGUUCCCAUGACCCCAUGAAACAAGACCCUAGAAAACGCAAGGCAAAGCGGCCUGGUGAGUGGCCAAUGGUCUACAGGAACUGGAUGUGAUCAGAGCGAGACCUGCAUCAACUGGGCAGGGGAGGCGUGGAGCCAUACCUGAGGAAGAGACCCAGCCGGAACCCAGGGAAGAGCAGGCUGUGAAAACUGGGCAGAAACUUGCGGCGACUCGGAAGACACUGCCAGGAAACCCUCCCCGGGCCUCCUGUGGGGCUUGUAGCAGCCGCAGGGGUUGGCUCUCACCUUCUAGUCCCAGCCAGGUUGUCUUGGAGUCAGCUAAUGGGCAAGGCCCCUACCUCUCUUAGGAUCUGAGGAUGGGAGGGGCUGCGUUUUUCCAGAGGAUCUGCACGUGUGCAGGCUGAGUGUUGAGACUUGAUUGGUGUCAACUGGCACUGCCUGCCCAUGAUGCACAAAAGCUACUGUAAGAAACAGGGUCCAUGUCUCCAGGGAGCAGGACCCCGUUCUGAGGCCACAACCCCGAGGGCAGUCUCCGCCUGCAGAGUCCUCCCUCUCGCACCGGCUCACCUCGUGGUGAAUCCCUUGGCUACGGUUUGGUGUGAGAAAAGAGAUGGGUGUUUCACUCCCUGCUGCAUCCCUGGUGACGGCCCUGGCAUUUCGGGGCAUGAGAUCUUUGCUUAAAGGUUUUGCGGUGGUCACUGCACAGGGGGUGGGGGUGGGGUCCCUUGGUGCAAUUUAUCCGAUUCUGCUGCGUGGAUGACAUCCACAGUGUUCCUCUCCAGUGGGGAUUAUCUGAGACCUUUCCGCAUGCCCGCACCCACAGUCCGCUCCCUCACGGCAGCAUGAACUCAGGAGGCGGGCGUUCCCACAGUCAUUACAUUUGCAGGGCCUCUCUAUGUCCACUCUGAUGCCUGAGGACCAGCGCUUCCACGAAGGUGUGGCCACGUCCAGUGCUGCUCAUUGGCUUCUCUCCUGCGGGAAUGUUCUGAUCCCGAACGGAGCCUGAGCAUGCGCGAAACCCUUCCCACGUUCACAAGGUGCUUCUCCAGUGUUCCAUUACAUCUCACCUAUGCACACUACAUGCAUACGGUUUCCACCGGCUGUGCGUGUCCCUAGAAGUCACAUUCACGGCGUUUCUCCCUGGGAGGAAUUCUCCCGUGCAUGGCUGCUCUGAGACCAUUUGCACCUGCGGCCACGCGUGGGCUCCUCGAGGCUUACAAACCAGGCUGGACUCCUGAAGCCCUAGCUGCACUUGGCACUCGGCGAGGUUUUUCUACAAAAUCUCAUCUCAGCCAUCUGAGUCCUUCACCAUUUAUCUUAUGAAUCCGCUCGAACGUACAAGGAAGGCCUCUCUGCCCUCCUGCUCCAGGGAGGAGGUUUUGACCCUCAGCUCCACCUCUGCGGCUGGCCCGGUCUCCGCAAACCUUUUUCUGCUUGGCCAGCUGGUGCCAUGCUAGGCUUUCCCACUAGGGGCGCCAGAGAAAGCGCGCGAGGCUGCGGAGGAGAGAGGGGCACACUCUUUCCGGUUUGCUUCCGGUUUUUUCCUCAGGCUUCCGGUCUGUUUGGUGCCCUGGUCGCGUGUCUUCCGAACUCUGCUGCUUCGCCCCGGCAAGAGCACUUCCUUCCGCGGCUGCUAAAACUGGUGCGCGGGUUCCCAACUUCGCAGAAGAGCUUCAUCGGCCCCCCGCUAGAGACCUCAGACCGCAGCCAUCGACGCCUCGCCUCGGGGAUCUGUCCCCACCCUCGGGGCCAGCCCUAGCGUAGCAGGUGCUCCCUGCAGUUUUUGCUUCUGAGAUAGAGUUCUCUUUUCAGCUCCUUCGGUAGUCACUUCGUACAUAGUGAUUCAUGAUGCGAAAUCCUCUCUGUUGAAAUAACUGACGAGGCCUCUGUCUUCUGACUGGACCCUGACUUCCAUGCCCUUUCCACUCUCACUCCAGUACAUGCCCAAACCCCAAUCUUUGUUGCUCCAGGCAUUGCCUCUGUGGCGCUGUGUCCCCUCCUUUGAACUCUGAUCCUUCUGCUCAGGCCCUUUCUCCCAGUCUGAACUCACCAUGAGUCAGGCCCUGUGCUAGGUGCUGGGAUGAAGCAGUGACUGACACAGGCCUGGACCUGUCCUUGGGAAGAGUGCGUCUGUGACACAGAUACUGUGCCAUGUGGCAAAGUAAGCGCGUGGGACAGCAGAGCCUUGUUUGCCAUUAAAGUAAUAUCACAAGUCUGUUAAGGUUGGAGAAUCAAGUGAACAUGCUGAAAAGUUAUGGGGAAUGUAGUCUCAUAGCUGGGGGAGCUGGGGGCCUUGUCAAUUGGUUCCCCCAGUCUGGAGAGCAAUCUGAGAGUAAGUAGUGACACUGUGUGUGCUGAGUGUGUCUGUGGGGGUGUUUUUGACUUGAAUGGAGACAUCAGCUCUUUGUGGGUCUCAAGUCUACUGGCUUUCAAUCAGCUCUUCUGCUUGACAGCUGCAGGUCUUGGGACUGCCCAGCCCCCAUAACCCUGUGAGUGCAUUCCUGAUAAUAACCCUCUUUCUCUUGUCCUCCCCCACCCCACAUCAUUGGUUCUGUUUCUCUGGAGAACCAUAAUACAUCAUUUACUAAUCAGGAAAUAGAUUCAGAGACAUUAAUAACUCAUCCAACCUCACAGUUAACUGUAGAGUUGGGCUUGAAAUUCCAAGGUCGAUUUUCUUAGCCAAUACACCAUGCUACAUAUAUGUAUGUAAAAAUAAAAACGCUUGUGAACUGAAAAGGGUCCAAACUUAAGCUCAUUUUGGUCCUUAAUUGCUAAUCCAUAGGCAUGUUUUGGUCCUUAAUUGCUAAUCCAUAAGCAUGUUUCGGUCCUUAUUUGCUAAUCCAUAGGCCUGCACACCUGCCCCCAAGGCCAUGG
rnacentral:lncRNA from 1 species